rnacentral:rRNA from 1 species
UGGGGAAUAUUGCACAAUGGGCGCAAGCCUGAUGCAGCCAUGCCGCGUGUAUGAAGAAGGCCUUCGGGUUGUAAAGUACUUUCAGCGGGGAGGAAUGGAGUAAAGUUAAUACCUUUGCUCAUUGACGUUACCCGCAGAAGAAGCACCGGCUAACUCCGUGCCAGCAGCCGCGGUAAUACGGAGGGUGCAAGCGUUAAUCGGAAUUACUGGGCGUAAAGCGCACGCAGGCGGUUUGUUAAGUCAGAUGUGAAAUCCCCGGGCUCAACCUGGGAACUGCAUCUGAUACUGGAAAGCUUGAGUCUCGUAGAGGGGGGUAGAAUUCCAGGUGUGGCGGUGAAAUGCGUAGAGAUCUGGAGGAAUACCGGUGGCGAAGGCGGCCCCAUGGACGAAGACUGACGCUCAGGUGCGAAAGCGUGGGGAGCAAACAGG